GUCAUUCCCACUGUUGGCUGCAGAGUUUAUUUAGACUUGAAGAUGUAACUGAAGCUAGAGCUAGUUAAUCUGCUGUGGUUGGUUGAAUCUUCCUGUCACUUUCUAAGAGGAUGACCAGUAGGAAAAGAUGGCUAGAAGUAGGCGGUGUGUGUUUUUGUGCAUAGAACUGUAUGAUUUAGGAAUGGUACUGAGAUCUGUUCAGCAUCCAGGGAAGAAGAUGUCAGUUCUGGGAGGGAGUGCGUUUUGAAGGCAUUAUGCGUCUACUUCAACGAAGACCCUGACAGCCUGAUUAAAGAGCAUGUGGGAAACAGCAAAGCCAUCUUUGUGGACUACGCAGAAGACACCACUGUGGGAAUCUUCACUGCAAAACAACAUGAGGCCCAGUCCAAAGCAGAUGACAUCGGAAUCAUCCUGGAAGACCAAAUAGUCCUCCAAGAACUGGACAAUGUUCCACUGGCCCUCCUCUUUGGACUCCUGUAUGCCCUAAACAUGGACUAUCUCCUCAGCAGAAGUACGUUUUUUGAAGUGGUCCAAAUGGUGAUCAUGGAGCUUGAUGGGGGCAGCCUUUCCAAAAAAGCUCAGGUCCUGAAAAACGGACUUCUUGAAUACUGGUUUAUGAUGUUUGAUGUUUCCAUUUUGCACUGGCCUUUGGGCCUCAUGUUGUCUUGCAGUGUUUGUUUAAAAAAAGUUGCUAUUGAUAGGUUUAUGCAAUUGUUAUUCAAGUGUUUCACUUAACUGUGUUUAAAAAAAAAAAAAAGACAAGGUCGGUCUGGAUGGUCAGACUGUCUUUGUUCACAUGUUUAUUUCUUGUGGCUGUAAGUCACUCCAUAUUUGAAUGUAAUCCUAAUCCUACCUAAUAGUUGUGAAGUAUACUGGCUGAACACUUGGUUCAUAUUGUCUUAACAGAGAUGCAAACUUGACAUUUUAAAGGUUUUAACCAUGUUAUCUGAGGUCCCCAAAGGAGUGUUUUGAAGCCUCAAUUCUGCAUAUGUGCGCUUUAAGUUGAAUGUGGAAGGAGCACAUUUCUGUAGAUUAAAUGCAUUGUUUGAGAUGAAAUAUUUCACUGUUAAAACAGGUAAGAAAUAUUAAAUCAGCCUGUUUGAUGAUUGA